AGCGACGCGUUCAUUCGGUCUCAUUCUGCGGCGGCGCGUCAAGGGUAGAGUAGGUCCAGUAUCCUGAGGACUGAUAAACGCGGGAGACAGCUGGAUUGUGUUGUGACUCUGGAAAGCGGUGUCAAAGGAACAUGUGCAGUUGAAUUGAAAGCAUUUUAUUACAGGUUGUUUAAGAUGUUUGCACAAGAGAGAUGAAGAUGCCAUCAGCUGAGCACGGUUGACUUCUGCAGGGGCGCAAGCAUGUCUGCAGGAGUUCAACUGGGGAGCUAGCAUGUCUGGCUAUGGGAGAAUCCGCAGCUGUCUGACUGUUCAGGGCCUGGUGACCAGCAUGAUGUGCUGAUCAGUCACUGCGUCUGCUCAUUGACUGGUAUGGUGGUGACCCCUGUGUCGUGCCAUGGGAGUAUGGCGUGUUUUUUUUUUAAUUUUAUUUUUUUAAAUCUAAAGGGUGCUCAAGAUCGUCCAGGAUGGCUUGGAAACUAUCAUUGUAUAUGAAUGACUCUUCUGAACGUGUUCCAGGGCUUCAAUUCUUCUACCUCUAUGAUUUUUGUGGUCUCUUCGACGCAAUUAAAAUGACAUUUCAAAUCUGUUAUCUACAUCUGUUGCAACUAUUAAAGUUUGUAAAAUCUCUUCAAUAAAGUGGUGAAAUCAAA